AUUGAACGCUGGCGGCAGGCUUAACACAUGCAAGUCGAACGAGUGGCGGACGGGUGGGUAAUGCAUGGGAAUCUGGCUAAUGGAGGGGUCAGACGACGGGAAAAUGUAGAUACUGCCGCUUACCAUAGGAUGAGCCCACGUGGGAUUAGGUAGUUGGUGGGGUAAAGGCUCACCAAGCCGACGAGCUCUAGCUGGUCUGAGAGGAUUACCAGCCACACUGGGACUGAGACACGGCCCAGACUCCUACGGGAGGCAGCAGUGGGGAAUAUUGCGCAAUGGGGGCAACCUGACGCAGCCAUGCCGCGUGAAUGAAGAAGGCCUGCGGGUUGUAAAGUUCUUUCGGUAGCGAGGCGUUAACUACAGAAGAAGCAACGGCUAACUCCGUGCCAGCAGCCGCGGUAAUAC
rnacentral:rRNA from 1 species